AUGCACUGUGGGCCGGGGCGCUGGGGGCCGGGUUCUGAGGAGGCUGCAGAAGAUGUCAGUGUUACUUUCGAAGAUCAGCAAAAAAUAAACAAAUUUGCUCGGAAUACGAGUCGCAUCACAGAGCUAAAGGAGGAAAUAGAAGUGAAGAAGAAACACCUCCAGAACUUAGAGGAUGCCUGUGAUGACAUCAUGCUGGCAGAUGACGACUGCUUAAUGAUUCCCUACCAGAUCAGAGACGUUUUCAUUAGCCACGCUCAAGAAGGAACACAGGAAAUGUUAGAAGAUGCAAAGAAAACUUUGCAAGAAGAGAUCGAUGCCUUAGGAUCCAGAGUGGCAUCCAUCCAGCGGGCGUUAGCCGACUUGAUGGUGCAGCUAUACGCGAAAUUUGGUAGCAACAUAAACCUCGAGGCAGAUGAAAGCUAAACAUUUUAUAAUCGUUUUUUUAUCUUGUUUUAAUAAACUUGAAUAUUGU